rnacentral:rRNA from 1 species
UACGAAGGGUGCAAGCGUUAAUCGGAAUUACUGGGCGUAAAGGGUGCGUAGGCGGUUGUUUAAGUCUGUCGUGAAAUCCCCGGGCUCAACCUGGGAAUGGCGAUGGAUACUGGCGAGCUAGAGUGUGUCAGAGGAUGGUGGAAUUCCCGGUGUAGCGGUGAGAUGCGUAGAGAUCGGGAGGAACAUCAGUGGCGAAGGCGGCCAUCUGGGACAACACUGACGCUGAAGCACGAAAGCGUGGGGAGCAAACAGG